ACGGCCUUCGGGUUGUAAACCUCUUUCACCAUCGGCGAAGCCUCUGGGUGUUCUCAGGGGUGACGGUAGGUGGAGAAGAAGCACCGGCCAACUACGUGC
rnacentral:rRNA from 1 species